UUUGCAAUGGCGGAGGCUUGUAUACAGAAGAAUAGAUGGGACUACCAGCCUAGAAGAUCGGGAAUCAGCUAUUGUGGAUUUCAAUGAUCCUGAUACUGAUUGUUUUAUUUUCCUGCUUAGUAUACGUGCAGCUGGAAGGGGUCUCAACCUUCAGACUGCUGACACAGUUGUGAUAUAUGAUCCGGAUCCAAACCCCAAGAAUGAGGAACAAGCAGUUGCCAGAGCCCAUCGUAUUGGGCAGACAAGGGAAGUAAAAGUAAUUUAUAUGGAGGCAGUUGUUGAAAAAUUUUCCAGCCAUCAAAAGGAGGACGAGCUUAGAAGCGGUGGUUCAAUAGACGUAGAGGAUGACUUGGCUGGGAAAGACCGGUAUAUAGGAUCUAUUGAGGGUCUCAUAAGGAAUAAUAUUCAACAGUACAAGAUCGACAUGGCUGAUGAAGUCAUUAAUGCUGGGCGUUUUGACCAAAGGACGACUCAUGAAGAGCGGCGUAUGACAUUGGAGACUUUAUUGCAUGAUGAAGAGAGAUAUCAAGAAACUGUCCAUGAUGUACCUUCUCUCCAUGAGGUGAACAGGAUGAUUGCCAGAAGCGAGGAGGAAGUGGAGUUAUUUGAUCAGAUGGAUGAAGAAUUUGACUGGACCGAGGAGAUGACUUCUCAUGAGCAGGUGCCUAAGUGGCUUCGAGCUAGCACCAGAGAGGUGAAUACUACCGUUGCUGAUUUGUCUAAGAAACCGUCAAAGAACAUGUUAUCGCAAUGCAGUUCUAUGGAUUCUCGCACGAGGUUUAGUUUUUGCAGCUCUUUGGAUUUUGUGUUUUUGAUAUAUAUAAAUGGGUUUUAAUAAAGGUGGAAAAAAUCGUGCGCAGGUGAGAUCUGAAGCAAGGAAGGUUCACAACCUGUUCUUUGAUCUACUGAAAAUGUCUUUUCCAGAUUCAGAUUUUGGGGAAGCAAGGAAUGCACUUUCCUUCUCUGGACCAACCCCAACGUUGGUAUCUACACUGUCCCCAAGAGCAGUAGGUAUUAAUCAGGGGAAGAAGCAAAAGCCGGUAAAUGAAGAGGAACCGGAGCCAAGCUCCCCUCAGAGGCCUCAACAACGAGAGAAUUCAAGGAUCAGAGUACAGAUACCUCAGAAAGAAACAAAGCUUGGCGGGACAUCAAGCCACAACGACGACUCUCCAAUUUUAGCUCAUCCAGGGGAACUAGUAAUCUGCAAGAAGAAGAGGAAAGACAGAGAAAAAUCUGCUCCAAGAACCAGAACCGCCGGAUCCAGCAGCCCGGUGUCACCUCCAGCAAUGGUAGGUCGUGGUCUUAGAAGUCCGGUGUCUGGUUCAGGUACAAGGGAGACAAGGCUAGCACAGCAGCAAAGAUGGCCAAACCAAGGCACUCAUCCAAACAACAGCGGUGCGGCUGGUGAUUCAGUGGGAUGGGCUAAUCCGGUGAAGAGGUUAAGGACGGAUUCUGGUAAAAGAAGGCCGAGCCAUUUAUAGACAGAUUAAGCCUCCUUUAUCCUUAGUGCUUAGAGGUGUGAUAUGUAAUGUGGCAAUUGAAAGCAAUGUAGCAGCGAGUCUUGGACCUUUUUGUAAACAAAUAAUAAUUUCUGUAGAUCUCCUUUCUUGGUAUGUUUCUGUUUAGAAGAAUAUGUCCUUUUGUUCGCAGUAUCCCUCCCAUCUUUAGAUAUGUUCCUUGUUUGAUCAAAAAAUAAAAAAGAUAUGUUCCUUGUAUAUGUGAGGAUUAGAACAAACAAAAUGAGAUGGAUUCAUGUCUAAAUUGUUGUAAGACUGCAAAUUGGUACAUGUUAUUUACAUUUGAAGCAAAGAGAGUUUCAAUGAUCCUAAAGAAUUAAACAAGUGUUUACACAUUUACAGAGGAAAGUGCUUUUCUCCUCCAUGCAAUGAACAUGAAUGGAUUAUAAAUUUGGAAAUAAACUAAAUCAAAGUACAAAGAAGAAAGAUUGGAUAUUGUAACGAAGUCAUCAAGGAUCGGCUUUUCCAGCAACUUCAUCGUUGUCAUCGGAGUCUGAACCACGUUCGCUCAUGCUAUCAUCAUCAUCGUCAUCACUUGAGAUCUCCUCAGGUGCUCCAAUGUCCUCUGGUUUAGCAUACCUCUUGCAAUAUUCUUGAAAUGUCAAAGACACCAACCAAUGUGUCAAUGAGAGGUUGAAUAGAAUAGAGAAGCAAGUUGGAAGAAAGAGUGAGCGAGAUGAACCUUUGACUUUCAGUUCGUAGGCAGGACGGUCUCGCAUCAAGAGAGAGGCAGCUUCACCAUUGAAAGGAUCAGAUGGGUUUGGAUAUAGAAGCAGUUGAGGAAGGAAUGACUCGAAGACAUUGAUUAGAUCUGAUCAAACAAAAACAGAUCAAGUUUAGUGGAUGCAAUCAUCAUCAAGGCAUAAAGAAAAAAAGAAAAAGACAGAGAGAAUAUAUAUAUAAAUUACCAAACAUUGGACUCCAUGUCUGGUUUAUUACAUCUAAGCAAACUGCGCCAGAACUGCCAAAAAAAAAACAUGAGAAGCAUAUAUAGGUUGAGAGAGUGAUCAAGAUUGGUAAAUGAUAAGCUCAGUGACUUACGAUUCAUCAACAUUGGGGUGAUAAAUCUUGUUAACGAAACCAACAGAAGGAGAUUUGUAAGGAUAAGCUUCAGGGAGUUCGACUUUGAUCUUCCACACACCUCCUUCCAAGGCCUCGCCUAUAAUUUUUCACAGAAACCCUGCAUCAGCUUAUAACCAGUGUUUUUUUCGAGACGAGACCGCAAGUCUCUAACUCAUAGUUACUCAACUCACUUCUCCAAUACCCCACAAAUCUCUUUAUCCUUUUUUUCUUAACGUUUACUCUAGAGAGCUAGCUGUUAGUUGUGGUGACAUGGCCAUCUCCGGUUGGUCAGCUCUUCUGUGUUCCUUUGAAUGCUUAUCAGCAUUUGCUAUCUUUUCUUUUGCAGAGUGAACUCCAUACUUGGCUGCCAUCUGUUUCAUGCAUAUAUUAUGUUGGUACAAAGGAUCAACGUUCAAAAUUGUUCGCUCAGGUAAUUUUUUUAAAAAAGCUGUGUUUACUCCAGAUUUUGUUUUGAAAUUGUUGAUUGACACAUCCCCUGGUCUCAUAAACACAGGAAGUUUGCGCCAUGAAGUUCAAUGUCCUCGUUACAACUUAUGAGUUCAUUAUGUAUGAUCGAUCAAAACUCUCAAAAGUUGAUUGGAAAUACAUCAUAAUUGAUGAAGCACAACGGAUGAAGGACAGAGAGUCUGUUUUGGCCCGAGAUCUUGACCGGUACCGCUGCCAACGGAGAUUACUUCUCACUGGGACACCUUUACAGGUUGGUAACAGUACAUCUAACAACUAAAAACCAAGAUUCUUUGAGUUUUCAUAUUAUGUUUAGUAAAUAGAUGAAUCUUAUUGUGCUUUUAUUAAAUCCUGUAGAACGAUCUGAAAGAGCUGUGGUCAUUAUUGAAUCUGCUCCUUCCUGAUGUCUUUGACAAUCGAAAAGCAUUUCAUGAUUGGUUCGCGCAACCCUUUCAAAGAGAAGGUCCUGCGCAUAAUAUAGAGGAUGACUGGCUGGAAACUGAGAAAAAGGUCAUUGUCAUUCACAGGCUUCAUCAAAUUUUAGAGCCGUUCAUGCUUAGACGUCGUGUUGAGGAUGUUGAAGGUUCACUUCCCCCUAAGGUAGGUUCUGUGGUAUUAGCUGCCGUUAUAUUUUCGCCUAGAUGAUUCUUCUGAUAAUGCUUUCGGCUGCAGGUUUCCGUAGUUUUAAGAUGUAGAAUGUCUGCUAUACAGAGUGCCGUUUAUGAUUGGAUUAAAGCUACCGGAACUCUAAGAGUUGAUCCAGACGAUGAAAAACUUAGGGCUCAGAAGAGUUCGAUCUACCAAGCCAAGAUAUACAGAACUUUAAAUAAUAGGUGCAUGGAGUUGAGGAAAACAUGUAAUCAUCCUUUGCUCAAUUAUCCAUAUUUCAAUGAUCUUUCCAAGGAUUUUCUCGUGAGGUCAUGUGGAAAAUUGUGGAUUCUGGAUAGAAUUCUUAUAAAGCUACAGAGGACAGGCCAUCGGGUGUUGCUCUUCAGUACGAUGACGAAACUCCUUGAUAUCUUGGAAGAGUAUUUGCAAUGGCGGAGGCUUGUAUACAGAAGAAUAGAUGGGACUACCAGCCUGGAAGAUCGGGAAUCAGCUAUUGUGGAUUUCAAUGAUCCUGAUACUGAUUGUUUUAUUUUCCUGCUUAGUAUACGUGCAGCUGGAAGGGGUCUCAACCUUCAGACUGCUGACACAGUUGUGAUAUAUGAUCCGGAUCCAAACCCCAAGAAUGAGGAACAAGCAGUUGCCAGAGCCCAUCGUAUUGGGCAGACAAGGGAAGUAAAAGUAAUUUAUAUGGAGGCAGUUGUUGAAAAAUUUUCCAGCCAUCAAAAGGAGGACGAGCUUAGAAGUGGUGGUUCAAUAGACGUAGAGGAUGAUUUGGCUGGGAAAGACCGGUAUAUAGGAUCUAUUGAGGGUCUCAUUAGGAAUAAUAUUCAACAGUACAAGAUCGACAUGGCUGAUGAAGUCAUUAAUGCUGGGCGUUUUGACCAAAGGACGACUCAUGAAGAGCGGCGUAUGACAUUGGAGACUUUAUUGCAUGAUGAAGAGAGAUAUCAAGAAACUGUCCAUGAUGUACCUUCUCUCCAUGAGGUGAACAGGAUGAUUGCCAGAAGCGAGGAGGAAGUUGAGUUAUUUGAUCAGAUGGAUGAAGAAUUUGACUGGACCGAGGAGAUGACUUCUCAUGAGCAGGUGCCUAAGUGGCUUCGAGCUAGCACCAGAGAGGUGAAUACUACCGUUGCUGAUUUGUCUAAGAAACCGUCAAAGAAC
rnacentral:lncRNA from 1 species